GGUAUGUAACAAUAUAACAAUACUACAUUGUUGUUACUAGUGUAAUAAUAGCAUAACCACACAUAUCUACCUAGCUAUACAUGUCUACUUUGAUAACAAGGUUGCCAAGAAAAUUUAAUAAUUAUUUCCUUUUCAAAUGUGAUAAAAGUAGCCCUUUGCAAUGCACCCUUCUAUCUUAUAGUGCAUCCAGCGUUGUAUCUCCUCUCUUUCUAGGUGCCUUCACACAAAGCCCUCUUUUCACUUCUCAAACAAGUUCAGGCUAGCUUUGUAAUGGGCAAUCGCCAUGAAAAGCCAGAGUCAGUCAGACAGGAAGAGACCAUACAAUAAUUGAAAUAUGCAGUACUACAAUACCCUUGUAUAACACUAUUGACAUGUAAGGGCCCAUAGAAACUAAAUGAAUACAUUUUAGCAGAGUUGGGUUGCCAGACGCUGUCCGUCCGUCCGUCCGUCUGUCUUUCUUCCAAUUUUGCUAUGUUCAGGUCAAUUGAGCAGCUUGGUUUUAGAAGAGUGACUGACAGACAAGCAGCGUAACCUCUCAGUCAUCUCAGGAAACGUCAUACCCAGGGGCUGCACAGCUUUUACUUCCAUUAGUCUUCAUUUCAGGAUCGCACAGGGCUUUGACGUCCACUAAAAGAAGGCUGUGUGCAAACAUACGUCCUUCUUCAUGAAGAAAAAACAAGGAUUACUUUAGGAUGACACAAUGAAAGUUAUUUAGAGGGGCGGUUUAUUUUGGGUGACCUUCAAUAUUGACUAAAAAGAGACCAAAAUAAGGUGCGGGAUCCUACAACAAAGUGAUCCAUGACUUGCUGACGUGUUGCCUAUGGUUUGUACCACUUUAACCUGCCACAAGCUCUCCAGGACCAGGGAGAUUGGAAAUCACCUGAGAUGGCGGCUGUAUUUGACAGCUACGCCCGCUUCUGCUUUUGAAACUGUGGAUGACGUCGAACGAGCCAUACUUGUGCGCUAAACUGGGCCAUGAGGAUGGCAUCUUUGCC
rnacentral:lncRNA from 1 species